AACUGAACUCUCAUCACCAUAUUUUGAUUGAUUGAUUGUUGUUUUUCUGUUUCAAGUUAUCCAGAAAAAGAAAUGUUUUGAAUUAAAAACAA
rnacentral:rRNA from 13 species